rnacentral:lncRNA from 1 species
CGCCGCCGCGGCCAGAGCCCCCAGCCUCUGCGCCGCGGGCCGGGACGAGCGCCCGGGCCCACGGCCUCCGCGCCUACCUUUCGGACUUGGUGAACUUCCGGAAUGCCUGUCGGAGGUCGUGGAAGGACCUGUACGUCUGCGGCUCGGCCGAGAUGCCCUGCGCCCGGGUGGUCCGGGGGCCGAUCCGCUUCUCCAGCUCUUUGAUCCUCUCCUCCUUGAGCAUGAGAAUCUUGGCAAAGUCUUCCUCUAGCUCGCUCAUUUUUUCACUGAGCCCCUCCGCGAAACUUUUUCUCGGGCGGCGGCGGCGGCGGCGGCGGCGGCGGCGGCUGGGACGGCAGCCGGCAGCGGAGAGCGCGGGUGAGCGAGUGAAUGGGCGCUAAGUACUCGAGCGCGGCGGAGUGCGCCCCUAAUGCGGCGCGGGGAGCCUCCUGCUUCGAUCCGCUUCUGCUGAAUGGACUAAAAGCACCGAGGGGAGGAUGAGAAGUCUAAAAGCGAUGGAGAGGAGAGGCAGAGUGCUAAUCUCCAGCCUCUCUGGGGAGUAGGUGAUUAUCUUUCAUUGAGAAACCAAUUAGAGCUGCCCUUCCUCCCCUGAGACCCCCUCCCUCGUCCCCCUCUCCUAGUCACUCCGUGAGAAUACGCGCGCGCCACCCCACCGACAGCCGAGUUGCU